rnacentral:lncRNA from 1 species
CUGAUCUCAGGUGAUCCGCCUGCUUCGGCCUCCCAAAGUGCUGGGAUUAGAGGCAUCAGCAACCGCGCCUGGCCUGUCAUGCUGCCUGACUUUUGAGGCUCGGUCCUAAAAGUCAAUAUAACUUCCACUUGGCUCUCUCUCAGGACCCUUCCUGUAUUCUGAGGAAGCCACACAGAGGGCCCAUGUGUUAGUGUGCCAAGCAACAGCCAGCCACCAGACGUGUGAGUGACUGCUUCCUCAGGCGGGUCCAGUUCCUAGCCUUUGAGUCUUCCAGCUGAGACUCCAGACAUGGUGGGGGAGAGAAAAGCCAUCUUUGCUCUGACUUGUGUGAAUUCCUAACCCACAGAAACUGCAAGAGAUAAUAAAUGAUUAUUGUUGUAAGCCAUUGAGUUUGAGAGUGAUUUGUUAUGCAGCGCUAGGGAAAUAACACAUUUACCAAAAGAUGUAUUUAUUAAAGGGUGUGAACCUAUAUGCUUCCCUUUUAUGGAUUUGGUUUUUGUUUUUGAGACAGGAUCUCGCUCUGUCACCCAGGCUGAGUGAAGUGGCAUGAUGCGAUCACAGCUCACUGCAGCCUUGACCUCCCAUUUCUAGGUGGAUCAGGCCUAGCUCAUUUCUUCUCUCUUCUACUUUCCCCCUACCAUGCAUUUAGGUGAGCAAAUAAGCCAAGGCCUGCUAUGCAAUCCUGGCCACACAGUUCCCCUGUUUCUUAGACCUCCUCCUCUGCAUAUGGUCAGAGAGCAGGAAGAUCCCGAGAGGUAGGAGGCCCCUACCUCUCUCACCAGUGAGCUCUACAUUGAGGUAUGGGUGCUUGGACCUUCUUAAUAAAGAAGCACCUGUUUUGUCCAGGCGUGCUGGCUCACUCCUAUAAUCCCAGCACUUUGGGAGGCCAAGGUGGGCGGAUCACCUGAAGUCAGGAAUUCAAGACCAGGCUGGCCAACAUGGUGAGACCCCCGUCUCUACUAAAAAUACAAAAAAAAAAAAAAAAAAAAAUUAGCUGAGCGUGGUGGUGCAUGCCUGUAAUCCCAGCUACUUGGGAGGUUGAGGCAGGAGAAUCACUUGAACCCGGGAGGCAGAGGUUGCAGUGAGCCAAGAUUGUGCCACUUCACUCCAGCCUGGGUGACAGAGUGAGACUCCGUCUCAAAAAAAAAAAAAAAAAAAA